rnacentral:lncRNA from 1 species
CUUGUUCUGCCCCUUGUACUGCCUCCUGCAAGGCUGUCUCUCUUUUGCUCCCCUCAUGCCUUUCAAAUGAUUCCGUCCAACACUUGUGAGCACUCACCACAUGCCAAACACGGUGCUGAACACUCUCUCUACCAUCUCAUUUGCAUCCGCACAGCAACUCUGGAGGGAGGGACUGACUGCCCUCACUCAAAGGGGAGAAGACUGAGGCUUCCAGCAGCUUCAGCUCGCCUUGCCUCAUGCCCUCAGGUCCCCCUGGGGUACCCUCCCCGAACCCAGACUGUAGGAGCACAUUCGGGCCUGUCACUUCUGUCGAGCCUUCGCUGACCGCCCCAGUCCUCAGUGACGUCCCUCUCUUCUGCACUCCAGGGACACACGCUGCCUCGUCUUCCCAUUCACGUGCCACCUCUGAAGGCCCCCUUGCCUUGCCUGUGCCUCUGGGGAUGGAGACAGACUGCGGACCGUCCCACAGCCUGCGCUCAGUGCCCGACUCAGCACUCCCCAGUCCCGAUGCUCCUUCAUCAGUGCCUAUCCUGAAUAUUUACCACAUGCUUUGUGCUAGAACCUGGGGCACAGCCAUGAGCAAAGCAGCUGCAGAACCUCCCCUCGUGGAAGACGAUAAACAGGCUGGCUUCCUCUGCCUGCUGGGGAAGUAUCAGCAACUCUCACCACAGCACUGGGCGUUCAUCUCCGAGGACAACUUUGUGAUAAAGUCAAUCCAGCCCACCUGUGCAUUUGCCAUUAUCAAAUAUUCGAAUGGAACCAAUGAAUGCCUUUUACUUC